CAAAGAAGAAGAUAUUGCCAGCAACGGCGCGAACCCAAGACAACAUGGCGGAGCGAAAUGCUCGAUGGACGGCCAAAUUGGAAGGAGAUCAACUCCACGGAUUCACUUUAAAAAAAAAUCGGCAGUGCCGCUUCAUGGAAGAUGAGAGUUGAUAUAUUGACACCAUGAAAAAAUCACCAACGAGAAAACUACAAACUGGAGUUGGCAGGAAGCAGAAAUGCACAUCCGGAAGUCAGCCUCUGGGUGCCAUUUUCCUGUUUUCUCCUCCUGCAGCACCGCCUUGACAUCAGCGAGGUGAGAGGCUUCUCCUGAAAAUGGAGCCGUGAGGGGUCAAGGCUCAGAGAGUCAAAUUGAAGCCGUUGCCGUGGAGCGAAGCGUUCCUCCCCCGGGGGUUGUUUGGACCCGUAUCGAAGGGCCUCGAUGACAUGGCCGCCACGCUUGGCUGCUUUUUAACCGCCGCCGGCUGCUGGGCGACGCGCAUGGCGGAAGAGAAGUGGCAACCGUUUAUAUCGCAUCACUUUGAGGAAACUAAAAGAAGAUUCUCACACAGGCAG